ensembl:lncRNA
CUUCCAUGGAUUCUCACUUUUUCCAUUCUAGCUGUUUAACAGAGCACUGAAGCCUGUAAACUUUUCUGUAAUUCUCUGAAAUUUCUUGCUGCUUUAGGACAGUAUUCUAAUCCCAUCAAAUAUCAAACCGGAAUUCCUGGAAGUUUCUUUGGAACAGAAGAUCAGCUGAUGGGACAGAAGAGCCUGGUAGGAGGCCAUCUAUGGGGUCACACAGAGUCGGACACAACUGAAGUGACUUAGCAGCAGCAGUGAUUAUUUUGUUCACUCUUCUAUUCCUAGCAUCCAUUCUAGAACAAGCGAUAGAAACUUCUGAGGAGCUGAUAGGAGUGUUUCUGUGGAUUGAGCGCGCCACCCAGUGGCUAAUGUGGAAAUUGCAGACACGCCGCAUAUACAGCGCAAAGGAGAGCUUUGCAUCCAACAGUACAACAGAGUCACUGCUAAUUACCACUUCCACCUCCCAGAUCAAAAACCCCUUCUGGACUUGACUGUUUCCGGCUCUCCUGCCUUCUGUGUUGUGAUGAUCACUACAGCCUGAAUUGAUUCUUCUGUCCCCAUUCAUGUCCUAUCUGCAUCCCUCCAACCCAUUCUCCAUGUCGCUGCCAAAAAAAACUCUACAAACUUGUACUCUUCGCAUGCAUUUUUGGAGCGC